AUUGAACGCUAGCGGCAUGCUUAACACAUGCAAGUCGAGCGAGCGGCGGACGGGUGAGUAAUGUCUGGGAAACUGCCUGAUGGAGGGGGAUAACUACUGGAAACGGUAGCUAAUACCGCAUACCAUCAGAUGUGCCCAUAGGGGAUUAGCUAGUAGGUGGGGUAAAGGCUCACCUAGGCGACGAUCCAUAGCUGGUCUGAGAGGAUGACCAGCCACACUGGAACUGAGACACGGCCCAGAACCCUACGGGAGGCAGCAGGGGGGAAUAUUGGACAAUGGGCGCAAGCCUGAUGCAGCCAUGCCGCGUGUGUGAAGAAGGCCUUCGGGUUGUAAAGCACUUUUAGCGGGGAGGCGUUACCCGCAGAAGAAGCACCGGCUAACUCCGUGCCAGCAGCCGCGGUAAUUC
rnacentral:rRNA from 1 species